UACGGAGGGUGCGAGCGUUUGUCCGGAAUCAUUGGGCGUAAAGCGCGCGUAGGCGGCCUCGUAAGUCCGUUGUGAAAGUCAAAGGCUCAACCUUUGAAAGCCGAUGGAUACUGUGAGGCUAGAGUCCGGAAGAGGCGAGUGGAAUUCCUGGUGUAGCGGUGGAAUGCGCAGAUAUCAGGAGGAACACCAAUAGCGAAGGCAGCUCGCUGGGACGGUACUGACGCUAAGGCGCGAAAGCGUGGGGAGCGAACAGG
rnacentral:rRNA from 1 species